UGCUGGUUACUUCGCAAUUUUGCUCUACAAACCCCGCCAGGACCGGAAGGUAGCAACGGUAGUAGAGUUAGGAUGUGCCGAAGUCUUGCUGGUGGGG
rfam:Acinetobacter sp. ANC 4558 Contig13, whole genome shotgun sequence.